rnacentral:lncRNA from 1 species
GGUAGUUAAAUUCAAUGAAAGCGCAUGUAUUUUACAGCGCUUGUGAAAAAAGCGCUGUAAUAAGUAGUUAAAUUCAAUGAAAGCACAUGUGUUUUACAGCGCUUGUGAAAAAAGCGCUGUAAUAGGUAGUUAAAUUCAAUGAAAGCGCAUGUGUUUUACAGCGCUUGUGAAAAAAGCGCUGUAACUGAUUCGCGAAAGCGCUUCCGUUUACAGCGCUUUUUUGACAAGCGCUGUAAAAUCCUUAUAACGUGAUGCGCAAACGUUAUAUGACCUACUACAGCG